rnacentral:rRNA from 1 species
AACGAACGCUGGCGGCAUGCCUAACACAUGCAAGUCGAACGAGACCUUCGGGUCUAGUGGCGCACGGGUGCGUAACGCGUGGGAACCUGCCUUUAGGUUCGGAAUAACUCAGAGAAAUUUGAGCUAAUACCGGAUAAUGUCUUCGGACCAAAGAUUUAUCGCCUUUAGAUGGGCCCGCGUAAGAUUAGCUAGUUGGUGGGGUAAAGGCCUACCAAGGCGACGAUCUUUAGCUGGUCUGAGAGGAUGAUCAGCCACACUGGGACUGAGACAUGGCCCAGACUCCUACGGGAGGCAGCAGUGGGGAAUAUUGGACAAUGGGCGAAAGCCUGAUCCAGCAAUGCCGCGUGAGUGAUGAAGGCCUUAGGGUUGUAAAGCUCUUUUACCCGAGAUGAUAAUGACAGUAUCGGGAGAAUAAGCUCCGGCUAACUCCGUGCCAGCAGCCGCGGUAAU